rnacentral:rRNA from 1 species
GAUGAACGCUGGCGGCGUGCCUAAUACAUGCAAGUCGAGCGAACAGACGAGGAGCUUGCUCCACUGACGUUAGCGGCGGACGGGUGAGUAACACGUGGAUAACCUACCUAUAAGACUGGGAUAACUUCGGGAAACCGGAGCUAAUACCGGAUAACAUGUUGAACCGCAUGGUUUAACAGUGAAAGACGGUCUUGCUGUCACUUAUAGAUGGAUCCGCGCCGCAUUAGCUAGUUGGUAAGGUAACGGCCUACCAAGGCAACGAUGCGUAGCCGACCUGAGAGGAUGAUCAGCCACACUGGAACUGAGACACGGUCCAGACUCCUACGGGAGGCAGCGGUGGGGAAUCUUCCGCAAUUGGCGAAAGCCUGACCUAGCCACGCCGCGUGGGUGAAGAAGGUCUUCGGAUCGUAAAACUCUGUUAUUAGGGAAGAACAAAUGUGUAAGUAACUAUGCACGUCUUGACGGUACCUAAUCAGAAAGCCCCGGCUAACUACGUG